UUUAAGUUCCUCGGCAUACACAUCACAGACAAACUGAAUUGGUCCACUCACACUGACAGCGUCGUGAAGAAGGCGCAGCAGCGCCUAUUCAACCUCAGGAGGCUGAAGAAAUUCGGCUUGUCACCAAAAGCACUCACAAACUUCUACAGAUGCACAAUCGAGAGCAUCCUGGCGGGCUGUAUCACCGCCUGGUACGGCAACUGCUCCGCCCUCAACCGUAAGGCUCUCCAGAGGGUAGUGAGGACUGCACAACGCAUCACCGGGGCAAACUACCUGCCCUCCAGGACACCUACACCACCCGUUGUUACAGGAAGGCCAUAAAGAUCAUCAAGGACAUCAACCACCCGAACCACUGCCUGUUCACCCCGCUAUCAUCCAGAAGGCGAGGCUUACAAUCAGAGUUUGAAGAAGUAUCCUGGCGACUCCUCUCUCUCAGGCCUCUCUCACACUCAUCUGGAUAACAGAACACUGCAGAACAAUAAUUGCAGAUGUCUGAAAGGUUCACUUUACCAUGGAUAUGAAGGUCCUACUAAUGGAUGUUUUCCUUCCUAUAAUUGUAUCUAUAUUAUCUUCUAUCAGAUGAACUGCGACUCUGACCCGGCCAUGAGUUCAUGCCGUUUGAACCUUCCUUUCUGGUUACUGUUGUUACGCCCUGACCUUAGUUCAUUUUUAUGUCUCUGUUUUAGUUUGGUCAGGGCGUGAGUUGGGGUGGGCAUUCUAUGUUUUUGUUCUAGGUUGUGUAUUUCUGUGUUUGGCCUGGUAUGGUUCCCAAUCAGAGGCAGCUGUCGAUCGUUGUCUCUGAUUGAGAACCAUACUUAGGUAGCCUGUUUUCCCACUAUGAUUUGUGUGUAAUUAUUUUCUGUUUAGUGUGUUUUGUACCUGACGGACCUGUUUCGGUUGUUUAUUUUGUUUCUUGUUGUAUUUAGUGUUCAGUUUAUUAAAAUAAUGAUGAACACUUACCACGCUG